rnacentral:rRNA from 1 species
UCUUAGCUUGCUAAGGCCGAUGGCGACCGGCGCACGGGUGAGUAACACGUAUCCACCCUUACGUCUACUCUUGGACAGCCUUCUGAAAGGAAGAUUACUAUAAGAUGGCAUCAUGAGUCCGCAUGUUCACAUGAUUAAAGGUAUUCCGGUAGACGAUGGGGAUGCGUUCCAUUAGAUAGUAGGCGGGGUAACGGCCCACCUAGUCUUCGAUGGAUAGGGGUUCUGAGAGGAAGGUCCCCCACAUUGGAACUGAGACACGGUCCAAACUCCUACGGGAGGCAGCAGUGAGGAAUAUUGGUCAAUGGGCGAGAGCCUGAACCAGCCAAGUAGCGUGCAGGAUGACGGCCCUAUGGGUUGUAAACUUCUUUUAUAAAGGAAUAAAGUCGGGUAUGCAUACCCGUUUGCAUGUACUUUAUGAAUAAGGAUCGGCUAACUCCGGGCCAGCAGCCGCGGUAAUACGGAGGAUCCGAGCGUUAUCCGGAUUUAUUGGGUUUAAAGGGAGCGUAGAUGGAUGUUUAAGUCAGUUGUGAAAGUUUGCGGCUCAACCGUAAAAUUGCAGUUGAUACUGGAUAUCUUGAGUGCAGUUGAGGCAGGCGGAAUUCGUGGUGUAGCGGUGAAAUGCUUAGAUAUCACGAAGAACUCCGAUUG